GCAGAAAUACUUGACCCCAAACGUCGGGCUAUAUAUCAAAUUGUAGCUAUUGAAAAUUGCUAUUCGGUGUGGAAAUUUCAAGACUUCAGCAAAAAGAAAAAUAUUUUAAAAAUACAAAAACAACUGCAAAACGGCAAAUUAUCGGUAAUUAUGUUUGUAGUUUUUCAAUAUUUCCCUUUUAGCUAAAGUCUCGAAAUUUCUACACCAAAUAGCGUUUUUCAAUAGCUUCAAUUUGAUAUAUAGCCCAACAUUCAGUGUUGAGUAUUUCCGCUCAUAACUCAGAAAAACUAAAAUACACUGGCUUCAAUUCCCCCCCCCCCCUGAGUUAGCCUUCCAGUUUAUUUAUAGUUCAAUGGUAUAGAC